UAUACGAAUACCAAAUUUCCGGUUAAAGUUCAAUUAACCAUUUGGAAACUAGCAUUUAACGUUGUCAGCCAUCGAAACCAGUAUGUCAACCAAAGAAAAAAGCUAUAAUUCAUCGCCCACCGACACACCCACACACGCACAUAUUCAUGUUUUCUAGUGCCCAUAUAACUGAUUGUCGAUCUAUCCGCUAAAAGUAAGUCGCUUUAUCUGCUAAAGUUGUUGGAGUAAAAUCAACAGUUCCUGAAAUUAAGUAGUAACGAGCGAAAUUUGACCUAAUUAUGGAUGAAUAAGAAUUGAAUCCAUAAUUGUGCAAGCAAAAUUCGAUCCUAAAAAGGCACAUAUUUAUAAAUAUGAUUACCGAGAGAAAAGGUCCGAUUAAGAGGCCGAGACGGAGAUCCAAUACGAUGGCACCCAUGGCCGGGACCUGCUUCUAAGUCCUCUUCAACAGUCCUUUCCUCUUUUUCCUUGUUUCGUCGUCUUUUUAAAGUCCGUUGCUUUGGGGGGUUAGGGCUCUACUUUCGUCUUCGUUGUUUGUUGAUAUACAUACACGCAGGCGAUUCGGUGAAGAGAGCCUCCCACCGCACGAAAGCCUAUCAUAUCAUCCUAUGGGGGCGCCUCCAUGGCUGUUAAUAUGGAGGGAGGAUUCUCUCUUUUUAAUUUUGAGGUCUUGCCUUGGCAGCCUUUUUCUCUCUUCGUUGAGCAAAGGCAAUAUUUUUUUUUUUUUUUUGAGCGGUG
rnacentral:lncRNA from 1 species